GGAUAGGGUAUCUUUUGAUUUAAUUGAUUGUCAGGAACUAAUCAAGAACAAAAGUAUAGAGGAUAAAUUGACUGUCUUUAAUAAAAUGUUACUGAAAUACAUUUUUCAACACAUACCAUUGGGAAACAAAUGUAAAAGAAGAAAAUUAAAACCAAUGUGACUUAAUCAGGGCUUAGUCAUGUUCUAAACAAUAAGAGAUUGGGC